rnacentral:SRP_RNA from 1 species
GGGUGGGUCCGGCGCGGCGGAAACCUGUGAACCCCGUCAGGUCCGAGAGGAAGCAGCGGUAAGUAGGUCCCUCCGGGCGCCGCCGGGUUGCCUGCCCGGU